rnacentral:rRNA from 1 species
UACGACUACAUAUCAGGCAUAUCAAUAAGCGGAGGAAAAGAAACUAACAAGGAUUCCCCUAGUAACGGCGAGUGAAGCGGGAAGAGCUCAAAUUUGAAAUCUUAAAGGGUUUCCCUUUACGAAUUGUAGUUUAAAGAAGUGUUUUCUGUUGAAGUUUUGGUAAAAGUUCUUUGGAAUAGGACAUCAUAGAGGGUGAGAAUCCCGUAUUUGACCGUUACUUUCCAGCUGUGUGAUACACUUUCAAAGAGUCGGAUUGUUUGGGAAUGCAGUCCAAGAUGGGUGGCAAAUUUCAUCUAAAGCUAAAUAUUGGCGAGAGACCGAUAGCGAACAAGUACCGUGAGGGAAAGAUGAAAAGAACUUUGAAAAGAGAGUUAAACAGUACGUGAAAUUGUCAAAAGGGAAGCGUUUGACACCAGUGUUGUUUUCUCGAAAAUCAAUUAAAAAAGGCAGGAUUUUGUGUUGUAUUGACUUUAUCAGCUUUCUGCACUCUUUUCUGUCUUUUUUAAUGCACUUUUCGUUUAACAAGUCAACAUCAAUUUCUUUUGUUGUAAAAGGGUCAUUGGAAGGUGGCUUUCUUUUCGGAGAAAGUGUUUAUAGCCUUUGGCCUCUGCAAUCGGAGAGAUUGAGGUCUGCAGCGUAGAUCCUUCGGGGUUAGAUACAUUUGUGCUAAGUUAUAGCCUUUCAUAGACAACUUGUUGACUAUGAUCAGUCAUGUAGCUUACUCGCUUAUGCUAUUUUACCUACGCUUAGGAUGUUGAGCGCAUGUCUCUCUCU